GAUGAACGCUGGCGGCGUGCUUAACACAUGCAAGUCGAACGGGAAUUACUUUAUUGAAACUUCGGUCGAUUUAAUUUAAUUCUAGUGGCGGACGGGUGAGUAACGCGUGGGUAACCUGCCUUGUACAGGGGGAUAACAGUCAGAAAUGACUGCUAAUACCGCAUAAGCGCACAGGACCGCAUGGUCCGGUGUGAAAAACUCCGGUGGUAUAAGAUGGACCCGCGUUGGAUUAGCUUGUUGGUGGGGUAACGGCCCACCAAGGCGACGAUCCAUAGCCGGCCUGAGAGGGUGAACGGCCACAUUGGGACUGAGACACGGCCCAGACUCCUACGGGAGGCAGCAGUGGGGAAUAUUGCACAAUGGGGGAAACCCUGAUGCAGCGACGCCGCGUGAAGGAAGAAGUAUCUCGGUAUGUAAACUU
rnacentral:rRNA from 1 species